GGCGACUACAGAAUAAAUAUCAUAGACAAAAAUGUAAACUCGGCACCUAUUAGAAUUUGUCUCAUUUCGUGUUAUUUCUGAAAGUGUUCUACCUAAUACGAUUAAUUUCCAUGGAUAGACAAACACUUAACUACUUUACAUGUAUAAGUAUAGUUGAGUUAAAAAUAAUUUAAAUGACAAGUAUGCUUCAUUGUAUUUUUUGAAAAAUAACACUUGUAGUUUUAAAUCGAUUUUGAUCAAUAUUUAGU